GCAACUUUGGUGUAGCGGUAACAUCUACGCUUCCCAUGCGUAGGCUCCGGGUUCGACUCCCGGAAGUUGCA
rfam:Ophiostoma piceae TAMH 11346 chromosome Tnknown scf11, whole genome shotgun sequence.